ensembl:ncRNA lncRNA:CR43804 long non-coding RNA:CR43804
AGCAAGUUGUAAGGUGUAAAUAAUUCAAUCAAUCAUUUGUCAACAGUUUCGGCUUCCGUUUAGCAAUCUAGCCUCCGAUUCAGGGUCAGCCGCUGGCUUUUGGCAGCCAGCAGCAUAUUCUCUGAUAUGUAAUUGGCAUGUCAAAGAGUUUCCAGCCCGCCCGCCUCCUUCGGCAUCCAUUGGCAUCCCUGGUUAAUCCACAUCCUGAACCCUCACAGUGACUCUAUUGAAUUGUCAGUUUGCUGUUGGUCGCUGUAGUGAAUCAAUCUGUCAGAUGAAAGGGGAAUCCAGCUGGCAGAGAUCUGGUGAAAGGCGUGAAAGGAUUGUUCAGGAUUUGGGGGAGAUGCUGACAAGGGGGCUGGGCAAUGACCAAAUGAUAAGGCAUCGAUGGGCAAACUGACAGCGGAGAUGCCUUUGUGGAAAGACAAAUAAAUUAGGUACUUUCAUUGGGUAUUUGAUUAAUUGCUUUGUUAACGCGGUUUUUAAAAGAGUCAAUAUAAUCUUCAAUUUGAAUUUAGCAUUAG